rnacentral:rRNA from 1 species
AACCAGCACCUCAAGUGGUCAGGAUGAUUAUUGGGCCUAAAGCAUCCGUAGCCGGCUUUGUUAGUUUUCGGUUAAAUCCAUGUGCUCAACGCAUGGGCUGCCGAAAAUACUGCAUGGCUAGGGAGUGGGAGAGGUAGACGGUACUCAGUAGGAAGGGGUAAAAUCCUUUGAUCUAUUGAUGACCACCUGUGGCGAAGGCGGUCUACCAGAACACGUUCGACGGUGAGGGAUGAAAGCUGGGGGAGCAAACCGG